CUUCCCAUUUAUUUGCUGCUAUAGUCUCUCAGUGAUAUGAGCAGUUAAACAUGAGGGAUAAAAGAAUUUUGGGCCAUUGUAAAUUGAGAUGAAGUAACUUUCAUCUCUUUUGCAUAGUCUAGACAUUU